AGGAUAUCUCUGCUCACCAGUCUCUCCUGCCAUUCCCCUUGCUGCAAUGCCACACCUCUUUCCUCCCUCCAUCCACUGGGAUCACCAGCCCUGCACUGCUGAGUCUCCACCCUUUAUCUGCAAUGUCACUACACACCUCACUGGAGGACUUACUAAUGAGGCUGAAACUUCAGAUUUUGGAGAAGAGAAGAUGGUUUGGAGCAGAGGACCAUUGUGGAUAUCCAAGUCUGGGCUGGUUUAG
rnacentral:lncRNA from 1 species